rnacentral:rRNA from 1 species
AUGACGUUCACCGACGAGUACAAGGGCGACAACGCCUUGGAGGCGCACGGCAACACCAAGUUGCACGUCAUCCACACCAACGACAGGAAGCAGAUGGCGAUCACCCUCGCGCAGUACGGGUGCCACCUCAGCCUCCAACGCCACAAGAUCGUCGGCAUUGAUCUCAAGUACGACAACGACCCUGAAGCGACGCAGAAACCCGCCCUCUGCCAGCUCUCCAUCGGCAAGAAUCACCCGGUGCUGCUCUUCCAAAUGAGCGACAGUGAAAGGUGCACCAUCUUCGACAACUUCCUCGCCAACCCCAGGUACACCUUUGCAGGCUUCUCCAUCGACGGCGACAAAACCAGGCUGGAGCGCGUCAAACUGGAGGUCGCCAACUUCAUCGACAUCCAGAAGGAGUGGAGGGUGCCCGAGGCAACCAAGCCGUUGGACUCCCUCGGAGACGUCUCCGGCGUGCUCAUCAACGACUACUACAACAACAUGAAGAAGAAGAUCACCGACGACGAGCACCAGCGCUGGGCCAUCCUGCCUCUGUCCAGGAGGCACAUCGAGUACGCGGCAAAGGACGCCUACGCAGCGAUGGCUCCGGUAGCGGACACAUGCGUCUACGCAGAAGGCCUACAGCUCACCAACACCGAGUGGCGCAGCAUGCUUGGCUGCCUGAUGAUACCCAACAGGGGGUUUCGUGCGCCAUUUCUUCAUCGCCUCACAACCGCAGAUCUAUAG